GCGGCUAUAGUUCAGUUGGUUAGAACGCCUGAUUGUGGUUCAGGAGGUCGAGGGUUCGAGUCCCUCUAGCCGCCCCA
rnacentral:tRNA from 1 species